AGUUGAGUUGAGUUGAGUUAAAAAUAAAAUUUAUUAAUUUCAAGAAAAAUUUAGUAACAUAAAUUAUUUAAUUUUUAAUAGGGUAAUAUGAGUGAAUGAUACAUUAGGAAGAGUAUAUUAAAAAAUUAAAUAAAACAUAUUACUAUAAUUAUAUUUAUAUUACUCCCUCUGUUAAAUAAAAAUAGACUUAUUAUUUUUUUAUUUAUUUUAAAUUACAAGUAAU
rnacentral:misc_RNA from 1 species